AGUGAACGCUGGCGGUAGGCCUAACACAUGCAAGUCGAACGGCAGCACAGUAAGAGCUUGCUCUUACGGGUGGCGAGUGGCGGACGGGUGAGGAAUACAUCGGAAUCUACUUUUUCGUGGGGGAUAACGUAGGGAAACUUACGCUAAUACCGCAUACGACCUACGGGUGAAAGCAGGGGAUCUUCGGACCUUGCGCGAUUGAAUGAGCCGAUGUCGGAUUAGCUAGUUGGCGGGGUAAAGGCCCACCAAGGCGACGAUCCGUAGCUGGUCUGAGAGGAUGAUCAGCCACACUGGAACUGAGACACGGUCCAGACUCCUACGGGAGGCAGCAGUGGGGAAUAUUGGACAAUGGGCGCAAGCCUGAUCCAGCCAUACCGCAUGGGCGAAGAAGGCCUUCGGGUUGUAAAGCCCUUUUGUUGGGAAAGAAAAGCAGCAGGUUAAUACCCCGCUGUUCUGACGGUACCCAAAGAAUAAGCACCGGCUAACUUCGUG
rnacentral:rRNA from 1 species